UUAGCGCUCAGCCAGUUCAGAGGUUUUCGUGAGCCCUGUUUUGCAGAAAGAUGUACUCACAAACUUCUGUCCUCGACUUGAACAGUCGAACCAAGAGGGGCGUCUGAUGUGCCCCCAAGUGCAAUGCUGUAACAGCUUGAAUAGCCUCAUAAGGGAUGAAUUACUGCAUGGACAGCAGCUGGAUCCAGAUCAGUAUUUUGGAAACCGGAGCCCAUCCCUGCAUGGAGAAAGUUGACAGCCCCAGACAAGCCUGUUUUCACAAAACACAUGGAAGAUACUUUGAAGAGUAGGAUGCCUGGAUUAGAUUAACCGAUCCGUAGAUCUAACGCUAUGCUGAGUGCUGGCAGGUUACUCAAAAUAUUGCUAAGAUUGGCACGUGUAUUUCAUGUCUUUCUUGCACACGAUAACAAGAUGAGUGGAUGAAGGAAAUGCAGUGAAUAUUGUGUCUCAUUUUUAAGUAAGAUAUCUGAUGCAGUCCCAAAUGACAUACUGGCAAAGGACUAAAGAGGGCUGGAUUCACAGAUGGCUACAAAAAUUGAACCCAGACAGAAAUUAUGAAUGGUCCAAUAUCAAGCUGGGAGAAGUCAUCAAGUUUGUUCCUUCAGGGAUCUGUUCUGGGUCCAGUACUAUUUAUCAUAAUCAUUAAAUGACUUGGACGAUGGAGUGAAGCAUUUCCAUAUCAGAUUUGGAGCUCAGAGGGAUCAUAAAAGCUCUGGCGGAUAAGAGAAAAAUGCAGUCUGGGUUUGCUACAUUGGAGAAACGGGCUGAAAGCAAAACUAGAGACAAAGUAAUUCAAACACACAGCACAGAAUAGGGGAACGUUAGGUAGGCAGCACCACACAGAAGGGGCUUAGAAAAAGUUAGCGGGGAAGAUAAAUUGCAUGUGAGUCGAUAAUUGAAUGCUGCUGCAGAAGAGGCAAAUGGUGAGAUGGAGCACAGCAAUAGUCUUCUAGCUAAAAGCAGCAAAGUCAUUUGUACAAUCCCUAGCACAAUGGGGAGGGCUGUAACUGGGAUUCCUAGGCACUAUGGUAAUACAAAUAAAGAUAAUCACAGUAAUAAAAUAGCCCCCUAUUGGUGAUACCUGAUUUGAAGUAAUGGAUUCAGCUCUGAGCAACUUGCUUU